AUUGAACGCUGGCGGCAGGCCUAACACAUGCGAGUCGAGCGGAUGAAGGGAGCUUGCUCCUGGAUUCAGCGGCGGACGGGUGAGUAAUGCCUAGGAAUCUGCCUGGUAGUGGGGGAUAACGUCCGGAAACGGGCGCUAAUACCGCAUACGUCCUGAGGGAGAAAGUGGGGGAUCUUCGGACCUCACGCUAUCAGAUGAGCCUAGGUCGGAUUAGCUAGUUGGUGGGGUAAAGGCCUACCAAGGCGACGAUCCGUAACUGGUCUGAGAGGAUGAUCAGUCACACUGGAACUGAGACACGGUCCAGACGCCUACGGGAGGCAGCAGUGGGGAAUAUUGGACAAUGGGCGAAAGCCUGAUCCAGCCAUGCCGCGUGUGUGAAGAAGGUCUUCGGAUUGUAAAGCACUUUAAGUUGGGAGGAAGGGCAGUAAGUUAAGACCUUGCUGUUUGGACGUUACCAACAGAAUAAGCACCGGCUAACUUCGG
rnacentral:rRNA from 1 species